GAGUGAGGGCCCUCUGGGUCCAACCUCCCACCCGUGUUUAUCGUACCUUGUUGCUUCGGUGGGCCCGCCUCACGGCCGCCGGGGGGCAUCUGCUCCCGGGCCCGCGCCCACCGAAGACACCUAGAACUCUGUCUGAAGAUUGAAGUCUGAGUGAAAUUAUAAAUUAUUUAAAACUUUCAACAACGGAUCUCUUGGUUCC
rnacentral:misc_RNA from 1 species